GCCUUCGUGGUGUAAUGGUUCUGCAUGCUGGACUGGUAUUCCAGAGGUCCGUGGUUCGAUUCCCGGCGAAGGCG
rnacentral:tRNA from 1 species